rnacentral:lncRNA from 1 species
AACCAAUGUCCAGCUUCCACACUAUCUGCUUGGAAGAGGAUUACCCUUAUUUGGAAGUCUCAGUUUUGAGGAUUUGGGGAAAGCAGGCACGCAAGCAGACACACCUUAUUCUCUACAGCAUCAUUUAUACCUCAACUAAGUCAGCUGAACAAAUGCCUGCUGAAAAGUUCUGGGAGUGGCAUAGCUAAGAACCAGAAAGGCGAUCUUUCUUUUGGAUUAAGUCAACAGAGUCAUACCCACAAGGAGAACUAUCAAAUAUCAGAUGCGAGAGGUGAAGUGGGGUUAUAAGGUGAGAGCUGAGAAGGGAGAAACAGGAUUCUACAUAACACAUUGCAAAUGGUCACAACAAUCAAGACUAUAUCCAUAGAUGUCCCAGAAAUAAUAUCUGACUAUACAGAGCAGCAUUACCAAGCCACCAAGAAGUCUGCCUAGUAAUGACAAUGAUAACAACAGCUAACACUUAUCAACAGAGCAGAGGAACAGAGCCACAGAUAACUGAAAACCACUUUGGCACUGAGGAGGUAUGCAGACAAGAUCUGGAAGGGAAUCUAGAAAAAUGGCAACUUUGGAAUAAUAGAUACCUUUUGUUUUCUUAUCGCUUUUAUUUUUGUCAUGAUAAAUAUUAAGAGUAAAAAGAAAAUUCACAUUGUUUGUGCCAUGGUACUCAGUCAACUUAGGUUUUACUCAAUAGC